ACAAAAAGUGCUGGUAAUUGGUAUCGCGGCUGGAGAUGCUGCGGCCCGCGAGUCUCUGGCACUUUUGUCGGCGACCUCGGUCUGCGAGGGUCCCAGCGGAGAACCUGGGCCGUAGGGAAGUCACCUCUGGGGUCUCUCCCCGGGGCGGCACAUCGUCCAGAGUCCUGAAUAUCUUCGAUCGAGAUUUGAAAAGGAAACAGAAGAACUGGGCGGCCCAGCAGCCCGAAACGACGAAGUUUGACUACCUGAGGGAGGAGGUUGGAAGUCGAAUUGCGGACCGUGUAUAUGACAUACCCAGAGAUUUCCCCCUUGCUUUGGAUCUUGGUUGUGGAAGAGGUUACAUUGCACAAUAUUUGAAUAAGGAAACUGUUGGAAAGUUUUUCCAAGCCGACAUUGCAGAAAAUGCUUUGAAAAAUUCCUUAGAAACAGAAAUUCCUACUGUCAGCGUUUUAGUUGAUGAAGAAUCCCUUCCCUUCAGAGAAAACACAUUUGACCUGGUGGUUAGCAGUUUAAGUUUGCACUGGGUGAAUGACCUUCCUAGAGCACUUGAGCAGAUUCAUUAUGUUUUAAAACCAGAUGGAGUAUUUAUUGGUGCCAUGUUUGGAGGUGACACACUCUAUGAACUUCGGUGUUCCUUACAGUUAGCAGAGACGGAAAGGGAAGGAGGAUUUUCUCCACACAUUUCUCCUUUCACUGCUGUCAAUGACCUAGGACAUCUGCUUGGGAGAGCUGGCUUUAAUACUCUGACUGUGGACACUGAUGAAAUUCAAGUUAACUAUCCUGGAAUGUUUGAACUGAUGGAAGAUUUACAAGAAAAAAGUCCAGAAUCUUGACCUAAUUUUAUAAAACAAGCUGCAUAUCAGCUGAUGAAUGCAUGAGAAAUUUUCAAGGCUUUCACAGUGGUCUUAAGGUAUGGGUGAGAGUAACUGUUCUUGGAAUAGAAAAGCCCUACUGCAUCGAAACACAAUGCUGGCAGCUGCAGCCGUGUACAGAGAAAUGUACAGAAAUGAGGAUGGUUCAGUACCUGCCACAUAUCAGAUCUAUUACAUGAUAGGAUGGAAAUACCAUGAGUCACAGGCAAGACCAGCUAAAAGAGGUUCCGCAACUGUGUCAUUUGGAGAACUAGGAAAAAUAAACAUACCAGAGGGGGAGAAAUCACAAUAAAUGUUUACUCAAUGUUAAUGUUGUCCAGAAUUUUUAUCAGAAAUGGAUAGCUUUCACAUUUAAAAUUACUAUAUUUUGAAGCAAGAAGCCCUCUUAAGCUAUUUACUCAUAGACUUUUCAUAUAAUUAGGAAAACCUAAUAACACAUCUAUAGUAAACAUUUCAGUUUCAUAUUGUUUCUAUUUUCAUAAGGAUUACUGCUGCCUAGGAAUUGAGUGUCUUUGCAGAUUCAGCCUAAAAGCAAAGAAAAUAUUUCCCUAAAAUUUUUGCAAAUAAUGUUCACAUGUGUAAAUACCUGACUUGAUGGGAAACCUUACUCAUGCUGACAUUUUGUACCUUUUUCUCCUGCUGGUGUUUUUUUCAUUACUUCUGUGAGAGGACCACAGCCGUGGAAAUGAGAGGAGAAACAAGUUGGUAGGUUCUUUAGAGUUCUGGCUCAUUUAGAAUGAAAACACAGACUUUUUAUAAUUACUAUUGUAAAGUACGUAAGGGAAAAUUUUGUUAUACUGUUUUCUUUGCCUUGAAGAGAAACAGAAGAACAUGCACCUUCUCCAGAGUUAUGUGGUUUUAGAAUUUAGAAGAGCAUGUAUCUUUAUUAAAUCCUUCCUCAACUCUUUUUUUAAAACGUCUGAAUUUAACCUUAUUUCUUUUUUAUCUACCUGGUCUGUAUGGGACCACCAUGGUUUUACACCUCACCCUACCUUGGGUAAGAAGAAAACAUUUUAAAGAAUUACAGAAGCAAAAUCACAUGUAAAAGUCUCUGCACAGUGAUCAGUUUAUUGUUAGGCUUUCCUUCAUAAGUUCAGGACCUACUAUCCUAAUCCAAGUUCACCAUUCCAUUUUUGUUGAGGAUUGUUCAAAAUCAUUUGGAGAUAAUCAAGCUCAGACAGGUUAGGAUAGCUGGGAAGAACAUAGAGGGUGGUAAGAAGGAAGCAGGAGUGCGCACUAAAUGUGUUGUUUCUAGUUAGCUGUUUGCUGUCUUUUCCAUUUGACCUGGGCAUGGCCCCAUCCUCAUUUUAGGCCUCAGUGAUUUAUGAUAGCAUUUCCUUCUGUCUCCUCUCAGUCCCUCUCUCUUCCACCUUCCUUCCUUCCUUUACUAUAUGAACAGCAAGUUCUUAAUGGGUCGGGGCUGUGUCUUAAACUGUGCAUAGUACAUGGUGCUUUGCACAUAGUAGAUAUUCAGUUACAUUUUGAAUUGAACUGAUUAUAUGAAAAACAUGCCCUUUGAAAGACUAAGUUAUAGUUAAAAACCAAGGUUUUUGUAGGAACAAAAGAAACUAUUUUCUUCAGUUGGAAAAAUCAUCGAUAUUUGGAAUUGGGAUACUCUUGGUAGUUUUUUUGUUCUAUUUUAACACAAAGAACUUGUGAAGUAAAAUUUGGGAAGGUUUGCUUUUUGUUUUGUUUUGUUUUUAGCUUAAUUUUCAGAACUUGAAGAGAGAGAACAACAACAAAAAACUCUGUGCUAGCCAGCUGCAAUGGCACAUGCCUGUAGUCCCUACUUGGGAGGCUGAGGCAGGAGGAUCACUUGAGCCCAGGAGUUCAAGGCAGCAGUGAGCUAUCUGUGCCACUGCACUCCAGCCUGGGCAAAAGAGGAGACCUCAUCUUAAGAAAAAUCCACCAAAAACCCUGUGUAUUAAAGUGCAAACUGAUGAUGGAGGAAUGGGUAAAUUCUAGGGGCCUAUAUUUCCAAAAGGACAUGUAUUCAUAUGCAGUAAUACUUGUUUUUGAAGAACGCAUCUGAAAGUGUUAAAAGUGGCUGUUGCUGAGGAAGGGGACUGAGGAACUCAGCCUGUCUGUGUCAUUCUGUUUGAAUAUCUGUCUGGGGUAUAGAAACUAGGAGGGAGACUUGUACUUCUCACAUUUUAAACUUCCUGUAAAUUUUGAAUUUUCCAAGCAAGGAUAUUACUUUUGCUUAUUUAAAGUCAACAGAGUUAUAUGUGGAUGGUGGG